GACUACAUUAGCUUAGUAGGUAGAGUGACCGAGUACAAAUCCGGAAGCCGUGGGUUCAAAUUCCGUCAGGAGUCC
rnacentral:tRNA from 1 species